UACAGAGGUCUCGAGCGUUAGGCGGAAUCACUGGGCUUAAAGCGUGUGUAGGCGGGUCGUUUAAGUACCUUGUGAAAUCCCACGGCUUAACCGUGGAACUGCUCGGUAUACUGGCGGUCUUGAGCCAACUAGGGGCUAUCGGAACAAGUGGUGGAGCGGUGAAAUGCGCAGAUAUCAGGAGGAACACCGGUGGCGAAGGCGGGUCUCUAGGCCGACACUGACGCUGAGGAGCGAAAGCGUGGGGAGCGAACAGG
rnacentral:rRNA from 1 species